rnacentral:lncRNA from 1 species
CAGUGACUGAAUGAGCAGAUGCGGAUUCCCAGGAAAGGCAGCCAAUUCUCACCUGGGAAGAGAUGCACAAGAGGAAUGUCCAGAGUUAUCCUCCCACUGCUGCGAGGGUUCACUGCCCCUAUGAAUCAGACACAGCACACAGGCAAAAAAAAUAACGUUGCCAUCCCAACAGCUUGCAGUCAAAAUCAGAGAAGAGAAAAAGCAGAGUGAUAAAACAAACAGAAGAGAAAAGGCAGUUCAAUUGGUAACGUAGCAAUGUUAGGUGAUGUUCCAUAACCCCGAUCUGUAAGGACAGCUCCUGCCCUCACUGCGCAGCCAUUCAGCUCUGAUACCUGUUGAAGCUCCAGAGGCAAAUCAUCUGAACUGUAUGUAUGGGCCAAGUUAUUGACUGAGACUGGCAAGUUCUAGUCCUCAGUGCUUUGUUUUUCCUGUAACAGGGUGACAUACGUAUAUACCAUUAGAAAAGCGAGGGG